GUCGGUGGCACCCAAGCCUGAGCAUCAUUUCCUGCUCCUCGCACAGAGAGGGUGGAUGCGUCACCAGUUGUAGGGUUUCCCUGUCAACUCUCGUGAAUGGUGCAGGAAAAACACCAGAAUUGCCUAGCUACAGGGCGCCGCCAUUGUGGACACCCAAAGUUGUGCGGAGAAGAAAAGUUGACAGGAGAUCUGAUUGGUCAUUAACAGAAAAUCUUUGUGAUGGAAUUUAAUAGUGAAAUAUAAGUGAUAAAAAUGACAGGUGACAUAACAGAAUAUGUAGAAAGAUACAGAAGUUAUAAGGGAAGAUCUGAGUGUAGAGGUGAUAUUUGGAUGGACAAUUUCAUUCAGUGCGGAUCUACACUAGUUGUAAACAGGCCAAAAUUUGAAGGAAAAACGCAACGGCCAGCCAUAUAUUUUUUGGUGGAAUUUUGAAGGGGAGAUGAUGAACUUUGCUGAAUGGUGACUGAUUUUUUGAAAAUUGGCUUAAUAAAUAAUUGACAGUGA